UGCUCUGUGGCUAAGUUGGUUACGGCGUCCGACUGUUAAAUUCCACACUUUAAUCAGUAUUCGACUGAUCGGAAGAUCGUGAGUUCGACCCUCACCGGAGCAG
rnacentral:tRNA from 2 species